GAGGCCGGCAGGGCUGCAGAGAACGGCCGUGCGGGUGCUGUGGUGCAGGCAGCCACCCCCACACUGCUCGCUGCACGAGGGGCCUGCUGGAAACCUCGGAGCCCCAGCAGAAGGGUCUGAGCCCACACGGGAGGCUGAGUCCUCCUGCCGAAGCCCUUCCUGGGGGCCACAGAGCCUUCUGGAGGAGUAACUGUGACCACCGUGACCACGGCCGGGCGGUGUGGAGCCAGCAGCCCGGAGAUGAGUCCCCACAAGGGGCUCGGCUGCACGGGCGCUGCUGCUCCUGAAUGAAGCCCGACCUGGACCUGCCUCUGGUCACCCCCUCCUCUGGUCUUCUUUGGAUCAAAGUGUGGCCGUUGGUGGCCUGCAGCCUCCACCUCAUAAAUCAGGUGCUGGGCACAGUGGGCUCUUCACGUCAGGUGUCUGUUCAAGACUCCAUUAAACCGGAAGAUGGCCCAGGGCCCGUGCGGCGUUUUCCACCGCCGUGAACGUGACCGUGGAGAGACCGUGAAGGGCCUUUUGAACCUGGCAGAAAAGGCAGCUCCCACUCGGUUCUCCAGAGCUUCCUUGGGCAGAAGCAAGGUGCCGCCGAAGGAACGGCAAACGGCGGAAGCUUUGGGACUGGCUUGCUCUCGUCUCCGUAGAUCCUCCAGGAGCGACAUCCCGUUGUUAAUUUGAUAUCGUUCUGAUUUCUUGAUGUAGUCAUUCAGCACUCUAAACUCUCCUCAACACUGCUUUAGCUGCACCCCAAAG